rnacentral:rRNA from 1 species
GGCCUUGACAUACUAAGAACUUUCCAGAGAUGGAUUGGUGCCUUCGGGAACUUAGAUACAGGUGCUGCAUGGCUGUCGUCAGCUCGUGUCGUGAGAUGUUGGGUUAAGUCCCGCAACGAGCGCAACCCUUUUCCUUAUUUGCCAGCGGGUAAUGCCGGGAACUUUAAGGAUACUGCCAGUGACGAACUGGAGGAAGGCGGGGACGACGUCAAGUCAUCAUGGCCCUUACGGCCAGGGCUACACACGUGCUACAAUGGUCGGUACAAAGGGUUGCUACCUCGCGAGAGGAUGCUAAUCUCAAAAAGCCGAUCGUAGUCCGGAUCGCAGUCUGCAACUCGACUGCGUGAAGUCGGAAUCGCUAGUAAUCGCGGAUCAGAAUGCCGCGGUGAAUACGUUCCCGGGCCUUGUACACACCGCCCGUCACACCAUGGGAGUUUGUUGCACCAGAAGUAGGUAGUCUAACCGCAAGGAGGACGCUUACCACGGUGUGGCCGAUGACUGGGGUGAAGUCGUAACAAGGUAGGCGUAGAUGA